rnacentral:rRNA from 1 species
GAAAACCUACGGGAGGCAGCAGUGAGGAAUAUUGGUCAAUGGCCGAGAGGCUGAACCAGCCAAGUCGCGUGAGGGAAGACGGCCCUAUGGAUUGUAAACCUCUUUUGUCAGGGAGCAAAGGGCGCCACGUGUGGCGUUUUGCGAGUACCUGAAGAAAAAGCAUCGGCUAACUCCGUGCCAGCAGCCGCGGUAAUACGGAGGAUGCGAGCGUUAUCCGGAUUUAUUGGGUUUAAAGGGUGCGCAGGCGGAAUGUCAAGUCAGCGGUAAAAUUUCGGGGCUCAACCCCGUCGUGCCGUUGAAACUGG